UACGGAGGGUGCGAGCGUUGUCCGGAAUCACUGGGCGUAAAGGGCGCGUAGGCGGCUAUGUAAGUCACCUGUGAAAUUCCGGGGCUCAACUCCGGAUCUGCGGUGGGUACGGGCAGACUAGAGUGAUGUAGGGGAGACUGGAAUUCCUGGUGUAGCGGUGAAAUGCGCAGAUAUCAGGAGGAACACCGAUGGCGAAGGCAGGUCUCUGGGCAUUAACUGACGCUGAGGAGCGAAAGCAUGGGGAGCGAACAGG
rnacentral:rRNA from 1 species